rnacentral:rRNA from 1 species
CAGCAGUGAGGAAGGUGGAUAUGUUAAUACGCAUAUUCAUUUUGACGUUAGCUGCAGAAGAAGCACCGGCUAACUCCCGUGCCAGCAGCCGCGGUAAUACGGAGGGUGCGAGCGUUAAUCGGAAUUACUGGGCGUAAAGCGCAUGCAGGUGGUUUUGUUAAGUCAGAUGUGAAAAGCCCGGGGCUCAACCUCGGAAUUGCAUUUGAAAACUGGCAAACUAGAGUACUGUAGAGGGGGUAGAAUUUCAGGUGUAGCGGUGAAAAUGCGUAGAGAUCUGAAGGAAUACCGGUGGCGAAGGCGGCCCCCUGGACAGAUACUGACACUCAGAUGCGAAAGCGUGGGGAGCAAACAGGAUUAGAUACCCUGGUAG